GCUGCGAUGGGCCGAGUGGGUUAAGGGCGUUGGACCUCGAAAUCCAAUAGGGUAUUCCCGCGCAGGUUCGAAUCCUGUUGGCAGCG
rnacentral:tRNA from 1 species